UACGCAGGGUGCAAGCGUUACUCGGAAUUACUGGGCGUAAAGCGUGCGUAGGUGGUUUGUUAAGUCUGAUGUGAAAGCCCUGGGCUCAACCUGGGAAUUGCAUUGGAUACUGGCAAGCUAGAGUGCGGUAGAGGAUGGCGGAAUUCCCGGUGUAGCAGUGAAAUGCGUAGAGAUCGGGAGGAACAUCUGUGGCGAAGGCGGCCAUCUGGACCAGCACUGACACUGAGGCACGAAAGCGUGGGGAGCAAACAGG
rnacentral:rRNA from 1 species